AGGGUUAGACUGUCUCCUUUUUCAAAUCAGUGAAAUUAAUCUCCCCGUGAAGAAGCGGGGAUACUCAUAUAAGACGAGAAGACCCCAUGGAGCUUCAAACCCAACUACACCCCUAGCUCUUAUAGCCCCACAACCCCCCUAGGCACCGUGUGCUUGGUUUUAGGUUGGGGCGACCGCGGAGUACAAUAAAACCUCCACAAUGAAUGGGAACACCCCCUUAUCUGAGGGCCACACCCCCUAAGAAUUAGAACACUAACAUAAAAUGAUCCAUUACUUGAUCAAUGAACCAAGUUACCCUGGGGAUAACAGCGCAAUCCAUUUCAAGAG
rnacentral:rRNA from 1 species